GGAUAUACCUGGUUUUAUUUUAUUAUAUUCACGUUUAGAGACACCUUUAGCUUUUUAGCGCUCCUGUUUUCUGUUAUUUUAUAGUACUAUUUUCUGGCCUAUAUUAGGGACCUUUAGGUCUUUUCAGGAGUUUGGUGUAUCACCCUGCGCUCAUAUUUAACCUUUAUUUUAUAUAUCAUAGAUAUAUCUGCUCUAGUAAAGAAAGGAUAUCCCUACUAAAAAAUAGAAGUCACUUUUGGGCAACUUAGCACAUAUUUUAGCCAAAAUGGGGAAUAAUAGGGGAGAGAAGAACAUGGAGGGACACUUUUGGACUCUUGACAUGUACCAUACGAAAUAAAAACAUAUAGGCCUAGAUUACAAGUGGAGUGGUAAAAUUUGCCCGUUUGCAGGUGUGCGAUAAAUAAUCAGCCAUUACAAGUGGCUGGUUAUUGCUACCGGAAGCUUGCGGUAGCAAUUAGCGCUUAUAAAAUGAACCCCAGAUCAGAUCUCUGGUUAAUUUUAUACAUGCCCACCAAAUUCCCCCAAAAUCAUGUGUAAUAUACUUUAUUACAAAAAUAAAGAUAGUAGCAUCUUGCAUUUUUAUAUUUUAAUAAAGUAACUGCACUUAGCAGUUUUGGGGGACUAAAGUUGGUGGCUUUACAUUGCAGUCUAUGGGAACUGUGUGAUCCCUGUAAAAAUAUAUGCUUAUAUACAUAUAUUUAUGUUAGUAUGUGUACAUACACAUAUUACCACAUAAAUAUACAGUACUGUGCAAAAGUCUUAGGCCACCAUUAGAUUUAGUUAUUUUAGCAAUGGUAUAAUGACCAUAUAUAAUUAUUUCUCAGUCUCUUUAUUAGAAUACAAACAGGAAAUACAACAUAUUUCUAUGCAGGGUUAAAACCCCCCAGAAACAAAUCAGAAAAAAACAGCUUCUAAAGGUUAAAGUGGUAAUUAUUUAGUGUGACCUCCCCUUACACUUGAGCAAUAGCAGGGACCUGGCUCUCGUAAACCUUAAUACUAUGGAGCCUAAUUAAUGUCAUUGCUAACACCUGUAUUUGUCCUACUAUUUCAUGUCACAAUGACUGCUAUGAAAAAAGGUCUAUUACGCCAGGUUUUUGCAAGACAUACGUAAGCAUUACAUACACAUGUGGUAUGAGUUUAAUUCAUUGAAAGCUUACUAAUAAGAUCACCUGUCAAUCACAUCAUUCCAUUCAAAAUGCCAAAGAUCACAGAAUUUGACAGACAUAAAAUCAUACUUUUGUAUCAGCAAGGCCACUCUCAAAGGGAAAUCAGCAAACAAACUGGAUACUCAAGAUGUGAUAUUCAAGCUGUUAUUAAGAAAUAUGAAGAAUUCAGAAGAGGUCAAAGACAAAAAAGGACUGAAAGGCCAAGAAAACUUUCGAAAUCUGAGUUUCUUCUUGGUGGGACCGGAAGAAGUCCAGCAAGGACAUGGCUUAGCAUCUGGCAGCUUCAUCGGGUUGCCAAGUUGAUCCUUCUACAUUCCGAAGACACUUGAUCAGGUAUGGUCUUUGUGGAAGGGUAGCAGCCAAAAAAACACUUUUUCAGAAGGGGAACAGGGUGAAAAGGCUAAGAUAUGCUAAAGCUCACAAAUAUUGGAAUGAAGAUCAGUGGAAAAGAGUAUUAUAGAGUGACGAAUCUAAGUUUGAAAUUUUUGGGUCCAAUCAUCAACAAUAUGUAAGAAGAAGAAUUAGAGAGAUAUGGAUGAAUGAGUGCUUGUGGCCUUCAGUGAAACACGGUGGAGGGACUGUCCUGGUUUGGGGCUGAAUUUCUGCCUGUGGUGUUGGUAAUAUUGUCCGAAUUGAUGGGAUUAUAAAUGCUGAAAAGUAGAUUUUAAUUCAUCAUGCCAUUCCUUCUGGAAAGCACCUGAUUGGGAAUGUUUUUUAUUUUUUCAGCAUGAUAACGAUCCCAAGCACACUGCUAAUGCAGUGAAAUCAUAUUUGGGGAGAAAAACAGCUGAUAAACACUGACAGUCAUGAACUAGCAUCCACAGAGUACAGACCUGAAUAUUAUAGGGGCAAUAUGGAAUCACCCGGACAGAGAAAGAAAUAAAAGACAACCUAAAUCUAAAGAAGAACUCUGGGAAGUGCUGAAAGAAGCCUGGUAUAAAAUGCCCAAAAGAGUUCAAGAUCUGCUUAGUGCCAAGGGAGGUCACACCAACUACUGACUUUUGCUAGAAGAAGCCAUUUUGUUCUUAUUCGUAUAAAAUAGCCUGCUUAGUUAACCCCAGUAUAAUACCUUAUACCUUACAUGCAAUAAUAUGUAUAACCACAAAUAAAGUCUCAAAUAAUAAUUGCACACAUUAUACACAACUCCCCAAAAAAGUAUAUGAAUUCCUUAUUGAAAUUAUAACCAGGUUGCAAGAUCACCAUGCAUCUGUUAACUCUUAAACAUGGCUGGCAAAUGUCUUCAUCUCAUAUAAUUCAAGCAACUUUGCUAUCUCUAAAGGAUAAGUACUUCAGUAUGCAAAGCUAUAGACUGGAAAUGACAAUGCUAUCUCACUAUAACAGUCCAAUAUACAGAAUAAUAAAUGUCCACACACACUGUCCUUCUCACCCCCUAAUCCCGCGUUAUUCUUAGUUUUUCUUUUUGUGCUUGUCCAGUUAGCCCGUGAGUGAAAACUGUUUACUUUCAACUCAUAAUAUGUUUGCAUCCCAACGAGCGCAAAAAGCCGAACGUCUAGUGUAGUUAGCUUGAGCGGGAGCGUUAAUUAGUGCUACUCUUGUAAUCUGGCCCUUAGGUUUUAACAAAAUGACACCUAUUAUUUACACAAACUCAAGCCACAUAUGUAUUUGGAUACCUUCAAAUGUGUGCUUAUAUAGAAUCAAAAUGCCAUAAAAUCCACCUAGUAGGCAUGCCAUCAACACCAAUAUUAUCAUCACCUUGUCUGAAAAUGGGGGGAUAUAGAAUUUUACUAAAUUUACACUGACCCUGGAGUCCCUAAUAUAUCUUUUAAUUUGCUACUAAGGAAUUAGAAACAUUUUGGGCCAGAUUACAAGUGGCUUGCAAUUUAUAUUUUAUAUUGUUUAAAAAGAUAAAUAAUCCCUUUAUUACCCAUUGCCCAGUUUUGCAUAACCAACACUCUUAUAUUAAUAUACUUUUUACCUCUGUGAUAACCUUAUAUUUUAGCCUCUGCAGACUGCCCCCUUAUUUCAGUUCUUUCGACAGACUUGCAUUUUAGCCAAGAAGUGCUGACUCAUAAAUAACUCCACUGGAGUAAAUACAAUGUUAUCUAUAUGGCACAAAUGAACUAGCAAUGUCUAGCUGUGAAAAACUGUAAAAUGCACUGAGAUUAUAGGUGGCAUUCAAGGGCUUAGACAUUAGCAUAUGAGCCUAUGUGGAUUUAGCUUUCAACAAAGGAUACCAAGAGAACAAAGCAAAUUUGAUUAUAAAAUUAAAUUGGAAAGUUGUUUAAAAUUGUAUGCCCUACCUCAAUCAUGAAAGUUUAAUUUUGACUAGAGUGUCCCUUUAAGUAUUUCACUUUCAAAAUGUUGUUAUGACAGAUCUUUAACACGUCCUAUUGUUUUUUUGUUUUUUGUUAGUUUGUUUUUUGUUUGCUUUUAAUCAUUUUCCUGUCUUUGUAGGGAUAGGAAACCGCAAAAAAAAAAUUUGUGAUCCAGACAUAGGGACCGAUUUAUCAAGGACCGAAUGGGCCCUGAUGCCCCCUGUUUCCGCGCAAGCCUUCAGGCUCGCCGGAAACAGCAGUUAUGAAGCAGUGGUCCACUGCCUCUAAAGCUGCGGUCUGCAAUCCGCCUGAUCCUAUACGAUCGGCUGAUUGACACCCCCUGCUAGCGGCCGAUUGGUCGCAAAUCUGCAUAGGGCAGCAUUGCACAAGCUGUCAGCAUUCCGCAAUGUCUGUCGGACAUGAAACGCUACAGCGUAUCAUGUCAGACAGACAAUGAUAAAUUGGCCCCAAAGAAUACAAUUUUAAAAAGUUUAACAUUUUCUUCUAUUAUCAAAUUUGCUUAAUUACCACGAUAUUCUUUGUUGAAGAGAUACCUAGGUAGGCAUCUGGAUCACUACAUGGCAGGAAAUAGUGCUGCCAUCUAGUGCUCUUGCAAAUGGAUAACAUUCUUGCAAAGCUGCUGCCAAAUAGUGCAUUGAUAAUAGAAGUAAAUUAGAAAGUUGUUAAAAAUUGCUUGCUCUAUUUGAAUCAUGGAAGAAAAAAUCUUAAAAGCACCAUUCAAUCAAAUCAAUGUAAAAAUAUCUUGUGGAAGAGCUACAAAAUCUUCUUAUGGCUUAAUAAUGUAGUAAUUUCCCUUAAAUAGAUGUUGCCCACCUCCAAUCUAUAUGCAGUUUAAGGGGUGGGAGUAAGUAUAGGUUGGGCCGUUUUACAUUUUUAGCUAGUGCAGUGUGGUCAAAUCAUUGGGAUCCAUUUUUUUGUUAUUCCAUGUUCCCUAAGACCUUUGGAUAAGGACAUUUCAUGUCCAUGUACCAUGAGCAUGGUCAGACUUAGACAGCUCAGUACUACUGAUGAUAUUGCAAUUUAGCAAAUAAUUCUCAUUAUUACAUCUGUGAGGCCUUGAGAACUUUUUCUCUGGAAAAUUUGAAGCAGGGUAAUUCCUUUUUAGAAGUUACAUCUUAAACACAUAUUCACAUAGAAUAUUAGCUUUAGAUAUCUUUAGUUUUAUGUUUUUUUUGGGGGUCUUUAAAACACCCUGGUCUUUUUAGCUCCAUCCCCGUCUAGCAGGGGUAAGACAUAUUUCCUUUUAUUAGCAUUCACUUUUGUUUAGUUAUAGAUUGUUAUAAGAAAAAUAUUGUAUCCCCUUUAAACAAAAACAUAGAUUUUUUAUAGCAGAUACAUAGGCCCAACCAUAUUUCCUAUAAAGUAUGUCUGUUGAAACUGCAACAUAUACUGAAAAUUUCGGUACAGCAUUACUGAUUAUAAAAAAGCUAUGUCAACAUUAAGCAGCAGCUGACAUCACACUCCCAUAGGGGGUGGGAGAGAGAAGUACUAAAAUAUUCAUUUUCAAUUGUUCUAAGUAUUGCUCUUUGGUUAUACCAUGUGAGAUAAGAUAAGUAAGACUGUAUGUAUGUGUGUGUGUGGGGGGGGGGGGAGAGAAAGAUGAGAUAAAAGGUCUGCUCUCACUGCAAGCUCAGUCCAUUUGUUUGUGUUGCAGUUUCAGGGAUCAAAACAACUAUUUCAUAUACAAAAUAACAUACCUCUGAUUGGGCAUGUUGCUGAUUUACUUAAUCGCAUUCCACACAUUCCUUUUUAACAUAUGCACAGUCAGAGGAAGCAGAUUCUGACAAGGUAGCAAAAUCUGGUAGAACACCAGUGUUGUGUUGGUUUGUGUGACCGCAUGUGCACAUUGUGGUUGCAAAAUUUUGAUGAUAGGCUAAGCUGUUCUGUCAGAUUUUGCAACCAGUCAUCUGUGAGCUCAGGAAUGUGGUGACAUCAUGUUUGCAGAUUUCAACAGAACUCUGACAGUGAAUUCUUUAGCAGAGGAUAAGAACAGAAGAACUAUCACUCAGCAAUACUUUGUAGUAACUACUGUUGUCGUGCCAAUAUAUCUCUCAUUGCUCUUGAUUUAACCUGCCCCCCUUGAAAUCUCCAGGCAGAGACAAAAAAGAUAGUGAAGAUGGGGGGAAUUAUUAGGCCCAUCGUAUACAGUCUAUGUUUGAUACAAUGACUAGAUGAAGGGCAUGCGCACUGAGGGGAUUUGCAGUAACACAUCUUCAACACUGGUAGUGAUGCGAUCCAGCAUUCUUAUGGGUCACGAACACCGGCCCUAUUGCCUCUGCAAAUUAUUAGCAGCCUAUAGAAGGUCCAAAAGUUCCAGGAAGGAUCUAAAGAUACCACACAAGUACCAUAUAAGUACUCGUGUUUAAAAUUAGAUUUAUUGUCUUUUAUUUAUUAUUUUUACCUGAAAUGUAUAAAUGUUUAAACUUUCACUGUAUCUUGUUAUAUACAGACAAGACCUAGAUAGAAACACAAUCAUAUAAGAUUAACCACUGUAUUUAUUUUUAUAAAAGUACACACUGCAAUGCAAAGCUUUUAAACACCAAUGUUUCCUUUUUUAGAUUAACCUUUUAAAAGCCGUUAUGCCGUUCCAUUCCGUCAUAAUUAGACUGGGCUUUAAAGCCGUUAUGACGGAAUGGAACGUCAUAACUAACGGCUGUCCUGAAGCCUUCUGUGCUUCAGGGAUUUAAUCGCGGUCUGGAGGGCGUUCCUAGGAUUGUAGGGACGCCCCCCAGAUGCGAUCCAAUAAUUGAAAUCUCGCGAUCGUAUGCACGAUCGCGUAGUUUCAAUUUGUCUACAUCGGAACAGUUGUUCCGAUGUAGGCACUUUAACCCUGUCACGAAAGGGUUAAAUGACUGUAUUUUUUUUUUUCAAAACAGUCCCUUAGUUACUUGCUUGCAAAAAAAUAAAAAAAUAAAACCAUCUAGAAUUGAAUUCAAAGCUGUAAUUUUUGUCAAAAACACUAGGUGUCAAUGUUGUGUCACUAUUGGAUAUUGAAGGGAAAAAAAGUUAAUUUUUGCAAUAUUGUGUUUAUAUUUCUACAUAGAUUCAAUUUAGCUUUUUUUUUUUUUGUACAGCAAAUUAAAUCACCAAAAAUGUGAAUAAAUAUAACUUUCAAUAGCUGACUGUGAAUGUUGGUGGUUGAUGGGCAAUGCAGACGUUAUUUAAAUAUUUGCUAUUACGUCAUUUGCAGAAAUAUUUAACUCUAAAAUAAAAUUUUAGUGAAAAAAAUACUUUCCUUAAGGGGGAUUAAACAUAAUUGCACAGUCGAUAGUGAUACAAUUAUAAGUUCUAAUGAAAGAGAACAUGAUUUUUUUUCAUUAGAAAACCCUAUCAAAUUUAAAAUAUACUUUAUAUAUCAGAUAGAAAGUGUUUUUGGUAUUUUAUGUGUUACUGUAAAUUUACUGUUUGGGAAAAUGAAGUGAUGUGACCUAUGGCCAACUGAACAAGCAGAUGGGACUUGCUUCUCCUUUGCAUAUUUAAAUGCAGGCAAUGCCCCCUAUGCAAGAUACACUGUAAAAACUGCCUAUAGAAGAUUAGUACAGGCUUCAUAGUAGUGAUGAGAUUUUAUAGGGAAUCUCACAAGCCUAGAGACCUUUAGAUAAUCUGGCUCUAGAUCUGUUCUUGAUGAUUCUCAUAUUGCUAUUAGGGAAAGACUUUUUAUAUUUAUCUGUAGUGCAAUUGCUUUAAGAAGUAUUACUUAUUAUUUCCAGCAUAAUAUAUGUCGCAAAUACCAUUGACAGAUUGAUACAACUGCAUUCAAGCUGCAUAAUGUGGGUUUUUUUGCACUAGAUUUUGUUUAUAUAUUUUUUUCUAAAAUUGUUAAACAGGAUUUUCACAUUUAUUUUAAUUAUACAGUCUGCAGACAAGGCUUUCUGUUCAGUAAUUGCUUGUACACAUACCAAAAAUAUGUUUUUGUUUCUAUUGACUUGUGAAGUUGAUAAUUGUUUACUAUAUUGUCUAUAAGGAUUUAACAUCUUAAUAAAACAUUUAAAAUUGUA